rnacentral:lncRNA from 1 species
UUGUUUUCAAAAGAAAAAGAAAAGAAACCCAAGAAGAGGAAGAAAAGAACAUCCACAAAGAAAAAAAUACAAAAAAGAAUAAAGAUAAAUAUAAAUGGUUACAUCUUUUAACUUACAAAAAACUACUAUUUAACAAAACAAAACAAAAUAAAAAUAUUUCUCCAAAGCGUACACACAAGGACUCGAACCCAGAACCCAAAGACCAAUUAACACACAGCAAACCACCAGACCAGUAGGCUUAUUAUGCCACUUAAACGCGCAACUAAACACAAUAGCAC